GGGAGUAAAAGUCGUAACAAGGUUUCCGUAGGUGAGCCUGCGGAAGGAUCAUUAUUGUAUAACCGAGGUGCGAGGGCUGUCGCUGACCCGAAAGGUCGUGCACGCCCGAGUGCCCUCACACACAUCCAUCUCACCCCUAUGUGCACCACCGCGUGGGUCCCCCUUUGGCUUGUUCGGAGGGGGGCUUACGUUUUCACACAAACUUUGUAUGCAGUGUAGAAUGUAUUUUUUGUUUUUGCGAUCACGCAAUCAAUACAACUUUCAACAACGGAUCUCUUGGCUCUC
rnacentral:misc_RNA from 1 species